rnacentral:rRNA from 1 species
UUUAAACUGGUUUGGGAAAACCAAAUAUAUUAUAUAUUUUGCUUUGUUCAAAAUAAGGUUUUCUAAUAAAUUAAGUUUUUAUCAGAUAUGACAGAAUCUUUUUUAAAAUCUCUUCAAUAUGCUUUUAUUGCUUUUGAGAGGUUUUGUUACUUUGAGUAAAAUUAAGUGUUCAUAACAGACGGGUAGUCAUGAUUGAGUUCAUUGUGUA